rnacentral:rRNA from 1 species
ACGAACGCUGGCGGCGUGCCUAAUACAUGCAAGUCGAACGCUUCUUUUUCCACCGGAGCUUGCUCCACCGGAAAAAGAGGAGUGGCGAACGGGUGAGUAACACGUGGGUAACCUGCCCAUCAGAAGGGGAUAACACUUGGAAACAGGUGCUAAUACCGUAUAACAAUCGAAACCGCAUGGUUUUGAUUUGAAAGGCGCUUUCGGGUGUCGCUGAUGGAUGGACCCGCGGUGCAUUAGCUAGUUGGUGAGGUAACGGCUCACCAAGGCGACGAUGCAUAGCCGACCUGAGAGGGUGAUCGGCCACAUUGGGACUGAGACACGGCCCAAACUCCUACGGGAGGCAGCAGUAGGGAAUCUUCGGCAAUGGACGAAAGUCUGACCGAGCAACGCCGCGUGAGUGAAGAAGGUUUUCGGAUCGUAAAACUCUGUUGUUAGAGAAGAACAAGGAUGAGAGUAACUGUUCAUCCCUUGACGGUAUCUAACCAGAAAGCCACGGCUAACUACGUGCCAGCAGCCGCGGUAAUACGUAGGUGGCAAGCGUUGUCCGGAUUUAUUGGGCGUAAAGCGAGCGCAGGCGGUUUCUUAAGUCUGAUGUGAAAGCCCCCGGCUCAACCGGGGAGGGUCAUUGGAAACUGGGAGACUUGAGUGCAGAAGAGGAGAGUGGAAUUCCAUGUGUAGCGGUGAAAUGCGUAGAUAUAUGGAGGAACACCAGUGGCGAAGGCGGCUCUCUGGUCUGUAACUGACGCUGAGGCUCGAAAGCGUGGGGAGCAAACAGGAUUAGAUACCCUGGUAGUCCACGCCGUAAACGAUGAGUGCUAAGUGUUGGAGGGUUUCCGCCCUUCAGUGCUGCAGCUAACGCAUUAAGCACUCCGCCUGGGGAGUACGACCGCAAGGUUGAAACUCAAAGGAAUUGACGGGGGCCCGCACAAGCAGUGGAGUAUGUGGAUUAAUUCGAAGCAACGCGAAGAACCUUACCAGGUCUUGACAUCCUUUGACCACUCUAGAGAUAGAGCUUCCCCUUCGGGGGCAAAGUGACAGGUGGUGCAUGGUUGUCGUCAGCUCGUGUCGUGAGAUGUUGGGUUAAGUCCCGCAACGAGCGCAACCCUUAUUGUUAGUUGCCAUCAUUUAGUUGGGCACUCUAGCAAGACUGCCGGUGACAAACCGGAGGAAGGUGGGGAUGACGUCAAAUCAUCAUGCCCCUUAUGACCUGGGCUACACACGUGCUACAAUGGGAAGUACAACGAGUCGCAAAGUCGCGAGGCUAAGCUAAUCUCUUAAAGCUUCUCUCAGUUCGGAUUGUAGGCUGCAACUCGCCUACAUGAAGCCGGAAUCGCUAGUAAUCGCGGAUCAGCACGCCGCGGUGAAUACGUUCCCGGGCCUUGUACACACCGCCCGUCACACCACGAGAGUUUGUAACACCCGAAGUCGGUGAGGUAACCUUUUGGAGCCAGCCGCCUAAGGUGGGAUAGAUGAUUGGGGUG